UACAGAGGUGGCAAGCGUUGUUCGGAAUUACUGGGCGUAAAGGGCGCGUAGGCGGUCUUUUAAGUUCCGUGUGAAAUCCCUCGGCUCAACUGGGGAACGGCACGGGAAACUGGGAGGCUUGAGUUCGGGAGAGGGAAGCGGAAUUCCGGGUGUAGCGGUGAAAUGCGUAGAUAUCCGGAGGAACACCGGUGGCGAAGGCGGCUUCCUGGACCGACACUGACGCUGAGGCGCGAAAGCUAGGGGAGCAAACGGGAUUAGAUACCCCGGUAGUCCUAGCUGUAAACGAUGAGUGCUGGGUGUAGGGGGUAUUCACCCCCCCUGUGCCGAAGCUAACGCAUUAAGCACUCCGCCUGGGGAGUACGGUCGCAAGGCUGAA
rnacentral:rRNA from 1 species